UACAGAGGUCUCAAGCGUUGUUCGGAUUCAUUGGGCGUAAAGGGUGCGUAGGUGGCGCUGUAAGUCGGGUGUGAAAUCUCAGAGCUCAACUCUGAAAUUGCACUUGAUACUGCUCUGCUAGAGGACUGGAGAGGAGAUUGGAAUUCACGGUGUAGCAGUGAAAUGCGUAGAUAUCGUGAGGAAGACCAGUGGCGAAGGCGGAUCUCUGGACAGUUCCUGACGCUGAGGCGCGAAGGCCAGGGGAGCAAACGGG
rnacentral:rRNA from 1 species